rnacentral:rRNA from 1 species
GACGUAGGAGGCGAGCGUUGUCCGGAUUCAUUGGGCGUAAAGAGCACGCAGGCGGUUUGGCAAGUCGGAUGUGAAAACCCGGAGCUCAACUCCGGACCUGCAUCCGAAACUGCCCGACUAGAGGUAGGUAGGGGAGAUCGGAAUUCCUGGUGUAGCGGUGAAAUGCGCAGAUAUCAGGAGGAACACCGGUGGCGAAGGCGGAUCUCUGGGCCUUACCUGACGCUCAGGUGCGAAAGCGAGGGGAGCGAACAGG